CGGAGCAGGAAGACAGGUGGUGCAUGGUUGUCGUCAGCUCGUGUCGUGAGAUGUUGGGUUAAGUCCCGCAACGAGCGCAACCCUUUAUCGUUAGUUGCUACCAUUAGGUUGAGCACUCUAGCGAGACUGCCCGGGUUAACCGGGAGGAAGGUGGGGGAUGACGUCAAAUCAUCAUGCCCCUUAUGUCUAGGGCUACACACGUGCUACAAUGGUGAGGACAAAGAGACGCAAGACCGCGAGGUGGAGCAAAUCUCACAAAACCUCAUCCCAGUUCGGAUUGCAGGCUGAAACUCGCCUGCAUGAAGCCGGAGUUGCUAGUAAUCGCGAAUCAGCAUGUCGCGGUGAAUACGUUCCCGGGCCUU
rnacentral:rRNA from 1 species